rnacentral:rRNA from 1 species
GCCUCAGAUUGAACGCUGGCGGAAUGCUUUACACAUGCAAGUCGAACGGCAGCAUAGGUGCUUGCACCUGAUGGCGAGUGGCGAACGGGUGAGUAAUACAUCGGAACGUGCCCAGUCGUGGGGGAUAACGUAGCGAAAGUUACGCUAAUACCGCAUACGAUCUACGGAUGAAAGCGGGGGACCGUAAGGCCUCGCGCGAUUGGAGCGGCCGAUGUUAGAUUAGGUAGUUGGUGGGGUAAAGGCUCACCAAGCCGACGAUCUAUAGCUGGUCUGAGAGGAUGAUCAGCCACACUGGGACUGAGACACGGCCCAGACUCCUACGGGAGGCAGCAGUGGGGAAUUUUGGACAAUGGGCGCAAGCCUGAUCCAGCCAUUCCGCGUGCAGGACGAAGGCCUUCGGGUUGUAAACUGCUUUUGUACAGAACGAAAAGCCUUGGGUUAAUACCCUGGGGUCAUGACGGUACUGUAAGAAUAAGCACCGGCUAACUACGUG